rnacentral:lncRNA from 1 species
GCCGCAGCUUGUUGCGCCGCCGUCUGGACGUCCUCGACGCUCGAGCUGGCCGGUCGGGGCAGGGAGUGGGCCAGCUCCGGGAAGUUGAGUUGGGCCCCACCCUCAAGCCCACGGAGGUACAAUGCGGCCGUGUCGUCCGCUGGCCCGCCCCUAUCUAGGCUGCCGCUGCCAUUUCGGGAGUGGCGUAGCUGCCGAGCCAUAUCCGGGUCUUCUUACCCGGUUCCCGGAUUUCGGAGACCCAUUUCCCCCAUUUCCUCUGCCGUACACCUCUGUACCUCCUUGAUGCUGCACCAGCGCCGCCAUGAUCAUUGAUCCCACAAUCCUCCAUAUAUGUCACCAGCUAAUUAAUUGGAUUAGACUUUCUGUACAGUACUAGGAUUGAAGUACGUAUAUCAUGUAAGGAUGAAUUGACUCGUUAAAUGGGUAACAUUACGUUGUAUAUAUAGAGAGGAAAAUGGAUGUGACAAUUUAAUAAUAAUGCAUUCCAUGCAUUAUUGAUCAGAUAUUCAAUUUAAU